AUUGAACGCUGGCGGCAGGCCUAACACAUGCAAGUCGAACGGUAACAGGAAGCAGCUUGCUGCUUUGCUGACGAGUGGCGGACGGGUGAGUAAUGUCUGGGAAACUGCCUGAUGGAGGGGGAUAACUACUGGAAACGGUAGCUAAUACCGCAUAACGUCGCAAGACCAAAGAGGGGGACCUUCGGGCCUCUUGCCAUCGGAUGUGCCCAGAUGGGAUUAGCUAGUAGGUGGGGUAACGGCUCACCUAGGCGACGAUCCCUAGCUGGUCUGAGAGGAUGACCGGCCACACUGGAACUGAGACACGGUCCAGACUCCUACGGGAGGCAGCAGUGGGGAAUAUUGCACAAUGGGCGCAAGCCUGAUGCAGCCAUGCCGCGUGUAUGAAGAAGGCCUUCGGGUUGUAAAGUACUUUCAGCGGGGAGGAAGGGAGUAAAGUUAAUACCUUUGCUCAUUGACGUUACCCGCAGAAGAAGCACCGGCUAACUCCGUG
rnacentral:rRNA from 1 species